AAUAGAUUGGUUAACCUACUUAAAUAAAAAUGAAAUCUUGCUGUGUUGAGUAAAUAAAUGCCCACUGAUAUGUAUGUGAAGGAGAUAUUUUAUUAAGCAAAUGUGUGGCUUUACUGUGAACAGAUAUUUGUUUCCGAGUCUUUUGCAGCUGCUCAGAUUCACCCUGCAAAUCACUUUUCAUGCCCCUUCCUAAUGAACUUUCAGCCCAGCAUCCAUCACAGAAUUUUAGCAACAAAUUUCUGGCAUUUAAAGGAGCAGAUGUGACGGAUGGUGAAGAGAACUGUAUGCACCAUCCUCUUGUUUGCUUAUGCGUGGUGCAGAGUCUUUGGAGAAUAGAAUAAAGGUAAAAAUUACCCGCAAAAAUGUAAUAAUCCUAAUACGUGUUCCUUGCCUUCCUUUAGGUUACUGAGAGGAAUAAGUCCAAGUUCCUGUUUCUUAAUGUCCAUGAGCAUCAGCCGGCCCAUAGCAGCCAGUAUAGACCAUUUGUCCUGGGUUCUGUCCAGAAUUCUGAUGCAGUGUUACGCUUAUGGGAUUCCCAGGCAGAAGGCAAGGCACAGUGCAGGAUCUCUCCAACUCUCCUGACUGUCCCACAGGUUGUGGAAAAUGAUCAUGGAAUCAUAGGCUGGUCUAAGUUUGAAGGAACAUCAAAGAUCAUCUGGUCCCAACCACCUACCGUGGGCAGGGCUGCCACCCGCUAGAUCGG
ensembl:lncRNA